CCUCAUACAGGGGAGUAACAGUUAGAAAUGACUGCUAAUACCGCAUAAGCGCACAGUGCUGCAUGGCACAGUGUGAAAAACUCCGGUGGUAUGAGAUGGACCCGCGUCUGAUUAGCUAGUUGGUGGGGUAACGGCCUACCAAGGCGACGAUCAGUAGCCGGCCUGAGAGGGUGAACGGCCACAUUGGGACUGAGACACGGCCCAAACUCCUACGGGAGGCAGCAUG
rnacentral:rRNA from 1 species